CUUGGUCAUUUAGAGGAAGUAAAAGUCGUAACAAGGUUUCCGUAGGUGAACCUGCGGAAGGAUCAUUACAAAAUUUACGUGUGUUGUGUCGUGUGCAGGCAGCCGCAAGGCUCCUGUUACUCGAGCACACCAAUUUACGCUUGUUGUGUUUGUCAGAGUUAUUUGUGACUAAAAUUAUAGACAACUUUUAACAAUGGAUCUCUUGGCUCUUGCAACGAUGAAGAACGCAGUAAAGUGCGAUAUAUAGUGCGAUUUGCAUGAAUCUGUGAGUCAUCGAGUCUUUGAACGCAACUUGCGCCCAGCAAUGGGCAUGUCUGUUUGAGUACCGCAAAACCAUCUGUUCUCUGCAAAGAGGGCGAAUUGGGCCUCUGCAUAUGCUUUUGUGUAUGCAAGGCCUGGAACUUAGCAAGAAGGUGCCGCUGAUGGAGGCCCUGCUGUGUGCUAUAAACACAUUUUUGUGUUUGGUCGCAGCAGGCGUCUCUGCCUGUGGACACAGUACUAUAUCUUCUAAUUUGGUCUCAAAUCAGGCAGGACUACCCGCUGAACUUAAGCAUAUCAAUAAGCGGAGGA
rnacentral:rRNA from 1 species